UGAGGAAUAUUGGUCAAUGGACGCAAGUCUGAACCAGCCAAGUAGCGUGCAGGAUGACGGCCCUAUGGGUUGUAAACUGCUUUUAUAUGGGGAUAAAGUGGGGAACGUGUUCCCUUUUGCAGGUACCAACAGAAGAAGUGACGGCUAAAUACGUGCCAGCAGCCGCGGUAAUACGUAUGUCACGAGCGUUAUCCGGAUUUAUUGGGCGUAAAGCGCGUCUAGGUGGUUAUGUAAGUCUGAUGUGAAAAUGCAGGGCUCAACUCUGUAUUGCGUUGGAAACUGUAUAACUAGAGUACUGGAGAGGUAAGCGGAACUACAAGUGUAGAGGUGAAAUUCGUAGAUAUUUGUAGGAAUGCCGAUGGGGAAGCCAGCUUACUGGACAGAUACUGACGCUGAAGCGCGAAAGCGUGGGUAGCAAACAGG
rnacentral:rRNA from 1 species